AAAUUGAAGAGUUUGAUCAUGGCUCAGAUUGAACGCUGGCGGCAGGCCUAACACAUGCAAGUCGAACGGUAACAGGAAGCAGCUUGCUGCUUCGCUGACGAGUGGCGGACGGGUGAGUAAUGUCUGGGAAACUGCCUGAUGGAGGGGGAUAACUACUGGAAACGGUAGCUAAUACCGCAUAAUGUCGCAAGACCAAAGAGGGGGACCUUCGGGCCUCUUGCCAUCGGAUGUGCCCAGAUGGGAUUAGCUUGUUGGUGGGGUAACGGCUCACCAAGGCGACGAUCCCUAGCUGGUCUGAGAGGAUGACCAGCCACACUGGAACUGAGACACGGUCCAGACUCCUACGGGAGGCAGCAGUG
rnacentral:rRNA from 1 species